rnacentral:lncRNA from 1 species
GGAAGUUAAACAUAACGACAUGAAAUGAAUUAACUAGUGCCCAUGACUAGAAAAAAAACAAACAUCAUUUGACAUCGAGUUUCUAAUUAAAUCAUGGCUGCAAGUGGGCAACGUUAUUAUAAUAGUGAAGGUGGACGUGCUGCUACUUCCCCCAUUCCCAACAUUAAGCAAGUACCUGCAUUGAGUAAUGCAAGAGUGAGAUGAUACAUCUCAGCAAGCAAAUUGUUUUGACGAGAUAUUUAAAUCACAAAUUGAAUUAAACAACAUUUUAAAGGAAUCACAAUUGAGAUCAAAAAUACUUGUAUACAUAGAACUCAAUAGUCCCAAUAUAACCAAUACCAUCUCAUUUCCUCGAACAACCACAAUAGGUUGUAUAACACUUCCCUGCGUCAACAAUACCUGCAGAUAUCACUUCAAUGUAUGCAUAGGAAUGCAAUAUGUAGGUCAUCUUCCCUCAUACCUCUGAGAGUAUAAAACCACAUUAUCGGCUAAUAUCACUUCAAUGAAUGCAUAUGAAUGCAAUGCAUAUGUCCUCUGCCUUCAUACCUCUAAGGUAUGAAGCCGCAUCGUACCCCUCCUCGGGCAACGUACGAUGCUAAGUUGUACCGGUACGGUCGGACCAUAGGUCACGACAAAACUUCAGAUGCAAAUAAGUCAUGCAAUGUAUAUGGCAUGCUGCAUUUAUCAAUAAACUUCACUUCCUUCAGAUACAAUACAAACCUCAAAUAAUAUUUCAUUUGCCUUCAGGGGUGUGAAUUAAUCUCAUGGGUCAUACUCGAACCAUAAUCAUCAUCAAUAUAUGAUAGAGCAUCAAUAUAAUACAAUCAAGUAAAACAUCGUCAUAGAGUUCAAUUAUGAAAGAAUCCAAUAAUUCUGAAUAUUAGAGUGUAGGCGAUAGAAAUAACAGGUCAAAACGGUAGCAACCACCGCUACAUUCACUUGCCUUUACUUAAGGAGCCAACAAGCACUAGAAAUGAUCUGGACCACUACCACCUGUUGUAGAGCAUACAACUUAGCACAAAUGUUCCAUAAAACAAAUACAAGCAAUACAUAUGCAGUUCCUAUGGACCCAAACCAAAGUCCAUUAAGAAAUUACAUGAAAUCCAAAAUAUCACAGCAGCACUACUUUUUAAUAUAUAAUUAAAUUCCAGCCUCCAAAAUAUGUAAACAUCUAACAAGUUAACUGAAUAAUUCUAUUUUAGACAGCAGCAAAACUGACUUUAAAAUUUAACUAGUACAAUAUCCAUGCGCUACGACGCACAUAAUCAUAAUUAAUACCUAUUUAUCAUCACAUACGUACACUCAAAUUUCACCAAAAUUGGAGAUAAGUUAUGUAGCUAAUUAUAUUAGUCUAGAUACUAUUGUAACUAACUUUCAAAAGGUAAUCAAGGAAUGCACGAGAACUUAAGUUAUUCCAAACAGAAUUUUGAGCCUUCACCAAUAAAUCGAACAAGAUAUGUAUGUAGACUCAGUCCUCUGCCAAUCAUGUGCUAGAAACCAAAAGUCAAGUAACAAAGGCACCAAAUCAAUGUGCUUGAAUAUAUUUUCUACAUAAAUAAAAACUACUCAAAGAAGAACUACAGAUUCUAACUAGGAUGAAGUGAAGUCACUAGCAAGUUUCUCAUCCUGGUACCAGACAAAGUCCGUCCCAUAAUUAUAUUGUAUAGAAAUAUUGUGAAAUUAUAACACACGAGCACAUGAUGGGCUAGUGUACCAACGAAGCAUACCUUUUAUUUAGUGGGGAAGUCAAAGGGAUAACAGAGCCGCUGUUUAGGGUCCAAGAGGAUAUGACUGAAGCAGUACAGGGGCAGGGGCAUCGACACAACUCUCCAGCAGGCCAACGACGAG